rnacentral:rRNA from 1 species
AUUGAACGCUGGCGGCAUGCUUUACACAUGCAAGUCGAACGGUAACAGGCCUUCGGGUGCUGACGAGUGGCGAACGGGUGAGUAAUGCAUCGGAACGUACCCAGAGGUGGGGGAUAACGCAGCGAAAGCUGUGCUAAUACCGCAUGUGAUCUGAGGAUGAAAGCGGGGGACCGAGCAGCAAUGUUUGGCCUCGCGCCUUUGGAGCGGCCGAUGUCGGAUUAGCUAGUUGGUGGGGUAAAGGCCUACCAAGGCGACGAUCCGUAGCUGGGCUGAGGGGACGGCCGGCACACCGGGGGUUGGGCAGCGGCCCUGGCCCCGAGGGGAGGCCGCGGGGGGUACUUUUGGCAACGGGGGGGAAGCUUGCACCAUCAGCGCGGGCGGGGGGAAGAAGCCCUGCGGGUGGUAAGCCGGUUUUGGGGGGAAAAAACGGUUUCCCCUUAAACCCGGGGGGAAUGACGGUAACCGGUAAAAAAGCACCGGCUAACUACGUG